rnacentral:tRNA from 1 species
GCGGAAGUGGCGGAAUUGGUAUACGCGCUACCUUGAGGUGGUAGUGAGGGUAACCUCGUGGGGGUUCAAGUCCCCCCUUUCGCA